rnacentral:rRNA from 1 species
UGCUGGAGGUAUCAGAAGUGCGAAUGCUGACAUAAGUAACGAUAAAGCGGGUGAAAAGCCCGCUCGCCGGAAGACCAAGGGUUCCUGUCCAACGUUAAUCGGGGCAGGGUGAGUCGACCCCUAAGGCGAGGCCGAAAGGCGUAGUCGAUGGGAAACGGGUUAAUAUUCCCGUACUUGGUGUUACUGCGAAGGGGGGACGGAGAAGGCUAUGUUGGCCGGGCGACGGUUGUCCCGGUUUAAGCGUGUAGGCUGGUUUUCCAGGCAAAUCCGGAAAAUCAAGGCUGAGGCGUGAUGACGAGGCACUACGGUGCUGAAGCAACAAAUGCCCUGCUUCCAGGAAAAGCCUCUAAGCAUCAGGUAACAUCAAAUCGUACCCCAAACCGACACAGGUGGUCAGGUAGAGAAUACCAAGGCGCUUGAGAGAACUCGGGUGAAGGAACUAGGCAAAAUGGUGCCGUAACUUCGGGAGAAGGCACGCUGACACGUAGGUGAAGUGAUUUACUCAUGGAGCUG